GAUGAACGCUGGCGGCGUGCCUAAUACAUGCAAGUCGAACGAACAGAUCGUGAGCUUUCGCCUUUGACGUUAGCGGCUGGCGGGAGAGUAACACGUGGAUAACCUACCUAUAUUUCUGGGAUAAUUACGUAAAACCGGAUAUAAUACCAAAGAAUAUGUUGAACGGAUGGGUGCAGUGGAUAAUGACGUUUUUUGGGUAUGUAUGAGCGGAUGCCGGAUUAGCUAGUUGGGUGGGUAACGGCCUACCUAGCCAAGGAUACGUAGCUGAACUGAGAGGAUGAUCGGCCACACUGGAACUGAGACACGGUCCAGACUCCUACGGGAGGCAGCAGUAGGGAAUAUUAGGCAAUGGGCGCAAGCCUGACGGAGCGACGCCGCGUGAGUGAUGAAGGUCUUCGGAUCGUAAAGCUCUGUUAUUAGGGAAGAACAACUGUGUAAGUAAAUAUGCAGGUUUUGACGGUACCCAAUCAGAAAGCACCGGCUAACUACGUG
rnacentral:rRNA from 1 species